GAUUAACGCUGGCGGCGUGCCUAAUACAUGCAAGUCGAGCGGAAGUUGGAGAGCUUGCUCUUCAACUUUAGCGGCGGACGGGUGAGUAACACGUGGGCAACCUGCCCUGCAGAUCGGGAUAACUCCGGGAAACCGGUGCUAAUACCGAAUAGUUUUCGCCACCUCCUGGUGGCGUACGGAAAGACGGUUUCGGCUGUCACUGCAGGAUGGGCCCGCGGCGCAUUAGCUAGUUGGUGGGGUAACGGCCCACCAAGGCGACGAUGCGUAGCCGACCUGAGAGGGUGAUCGGCCACACUGGGACUGAGACACGGCCCAGACUCCUACGGGAGGCAGCAGUAGGGAAUCUUCCGCAAUGGACGAAAGUCUGACGGAGCAACGCCGCCUGAGUGACGAAGGUUUUCGGAUCGUAAAACUCUGUUGUGAGGGAAGAACAAGUACCACUUAACUACUGGUACCUUGACGGUACCUCACCAGAAAGCCACGGCUAACUACGUGCCAGCCGCCGCGGUAAUAC
rnacentral:rRNA from 1 species